rnacentral:rRNA from 1 species
AUUGAACGCUGGCGGCAUGCUUUACACAUGUAAGUCGAACGGCAGCACGGGGGCAACCCUGGUGGCGAGUGGCGAACGGGUGAGUAAUGCAUCGGAACAUGCCCAGUCGUGGGGGAUAACGUAGCGAAAGUUACGCUAAUACCGCAUACGUCCUGAGGGAGAAAGCGGGGGAUCGCAAGACCUCGCGCGAUUGGAGUGGCCGAUGUCAGAUUAGCUAGUUGGUGGGGUAAAGGCCCACCAAGGCGACGAUCUGUAGCGGGUCUGAGAGGAUGAUCCGCCACACUGGGACUGAGACACGGCCCAGACUCCUACGGGAGGCAGCAGUGGGGAAUUUUGGACAGUGGGGGCAACCCUGAUCCAGCCAUGCCGCGUGCGGGAAGAAGGCCUUCGGGUUGUAAACCGCUUUCAGCCGGAAAGAAAUCGCUAUUCCUAAUACGAGUGGUGGAUGACGGUACCGGAAGAAGAAGCACCGGCUAACUACGUGCCAGCCGCCGCCGUAACAC